GAAUAGAAAGUAGGCAGGCUUCUGGGUGGAUGGGGCCCAGCACCCACAGCCUAGGCUGGCUGCCUGAGAGUAGCGAGUGACAGGUAAGGGCUCUGAACCUUCCUGCGUGCUACCCAAGGAGUGCCUAGGGCUACCAGGAGGCCCAGGGAGGAACCUUGAGACCUGAGAAAGGCUUUUCUUCCCCGAGAGGACCACUGCUCAGGCUCAGAGGCCAUGGGGUGAAGUGCACAAAAAAGUGGGCGUCCAGCCAUGCUCUAAGUCCCCCGAAGAUGAAGACCAGGGAGCAGCUUCCUCCAAUGAAGCAGCAGCAAUCAGAGGACCAGGAGGCUGAAGCCCUGAGCCCAGCCAGAGGCAGGAUCAGCCAAGUCUGGGACAGGCUUCAAUUAUUUUAGGGGACAUCCACCUUCUGUCUUCAAACAGCAGAGCUUCUGGUUCCUGGGCCUUCAGACUUGGACUAGAACUUCACUACCAGCUUUCCUGGGUCUCCAGCUUGCAGAGAGCAGAUCGCAGAACUUCUUAGCCUCCAUAAUCACAAGAACGUGUUUGCUUCCCCUUCCACCAUGAUUGUAAGUUUCCUGAGGCCUCCCCAGUCCUGCAGAACUGCUUUGAAGAAGACCACUGCGUCGGUAUUUGUGAAAUGUUUUGAGCCUCUGGAUUUAAAUAAGGUGAAAUAUAAAGGAUCCUUUUCACUACUGGGCACGCCUAACUGCAUGUCUUCUAAACACUGCUUGUGAUGGUCAUUCAUACCAAAGGACGGAAACAGAAAGCACAGAUCACAAAAUCCUCUGGCCAAAUGGGGAAUCUGACCCUGAAACGAAGGAGCAGUGUCAAUGUCCUGAGCCCCACUGCCAGCCUCAGCUCUAUGAGAAAGGUGGCAGAGAGGUGGCAAGGAGGCACACACAAAAGACUGGUGUUUGUCCUCUCCAUGCUUCUGCCAAAUCUUAUAACCUCCCGUCCCCGACUGGCAAGCCAAAUAGUAGCACCAUCCCUACAGGUUACAUUAUACCCUGAAAUUAACAUUACAAAUCAAACCACUUAGUUUUAAAGUGCUUUUCACAAGCCUACUAACUUAAUCCAUGACUAGUGCUAUGGGGGUUGUUAAUAGGUUCUCACAUCUCCCCAAAACAGCCCUAUUUAAGACCCCUCCUCCAUUACCCACACACCAGCCUGCCUUCCUCACUCAGGGUGAGGACCCACAGUGAACGACAGUAGUAUUCUCCUCUCUCUUCUGUUGACCUAGAUUGACCUGAGUGGGGGUUUUAAGACUGAUCUCUCUUCCCUCUUCUCAUACCAAGUCUAAAUUCCACUGCUGGGCUUUCCCUGCCUGCUGUGAUUUGACUCUACCUUUCUAUACAGCCAACUUCUUACCACCCACACGCUCACCUCUGCCUCAGUCCUCAGGCCUGGAAAGGCCCUUUGAAUCUUCCUUUAUGCCUCUCCUGCAGAUCCAGGCACAAGUCCAACCCUCCACCAGCCUGAAUCCGUCUUUUCCUCCUCUGAAUUCCUAUGGCAUUUAUAGUUAGCACCCUACAAUUUACUGAACCACUUAAUUAUAUGCUCUCUGGCAUUGCUCAGUGAUUAUGUCUUGCUUUUAGUCUGGCCUCCUGAGUAGAUAUUGAAUCUCAGUGGGGCAGAAACUAUACUUUAUACAUGUUUAUUGUAUCCUCAAGAGCACCUACUAUUACUAAUGGCAGUCAGCACUUAGUGUAUACGACACACAGUACUUUAUGUAUGCUAUCUAUUUAAUACCACAAUAUCUCUAACAAGGCAUUAUCAUGCCUAUUUUUCAG
rnacentral:lncRNA from 10 species